rnacentral:tRNA from 1 species
UCCCUGGUGGCUCAGAUGAUAAAGUGUCUGCCUACGAUGCAGGAGACACGGGUUCGAUUCCUGGGUAGGGAA